CCGGUUGAUCCUGCCGGAGGUUAUUGCUUUCCGAAUUCGACUAAGCUAUGCGAGUCUGGGGUUAAACCCAGGCGCACUGCUCAGUAACACGUAGUCAAUCUGCCCUUAGGACUGGUCUAAUCCCGGGAAACUGGGGCCGAGGACCAGAUAGGCAAGGGGUACUGGAAUGUCCCCUUACUGAACUAAGGAUGAGACUGCGGCCCAUCAGGUUGUUGCCAGGGUAAAGAAGACUUGUUGCUUACAAGCAACUGGUCUGUGCAUUCCUGGCGAGCCUAUAACGGGUACGGGCCUUGAAAGAGGAAGCCCGGAGUUGGAUUCUGAGACAUGAAUCCAGGCCCUACGGGGUGCAGCAAGCGCGAAACGUCCGCAAUGCCCGCAAGGGUGACGGCGGAAUUCGGAGUGUUUUCUCCGUUAGGAGGAAGCUUUUGCAGAGUCUAAAAAGCUCUGUGAAUAAGUGGUGGGUAAGACGGGUGCCAGCCGCCUCGGUAAUACCCGCGCCACUAGUGGUAACCAUUAUUACUGGGCUUAAAGUGUUCGUAGCCGGCCUUGAAAGUUCCCGAUGAAAUCCCGUAGCUAACUGCGGGGCUUGUCGGGGAUACUGCAAGGCUAGGGACCGGGAGAGGCCAAGAGUAUUCCUGGGGUAGGGGUAAAAUCCUAUAAUCCCAGGAGGACUACCUGUGGCGAAGGCGCUUGGCUAGAACGGAUCCGACGGUGAGGGACGAAAGCUAGGGGAGCAAAGCGGAUUAGAUACCCGCGUAGUCCUAGCCGUAAACGAUGCCCACUAGGCAUUGGCAGUCUCACGAGGACUGCCAGAGUCGUAGGGAAACCGUUAAGUGGGCCGCCUGGGGAGUACGGUCGCAAGGCUGAAACUUAAGGGAAUUGGCGGGGGAGCACACAAGGGGUGGAGGCUGCGGUUCAAUUGGAUUCAACGCCGGGAACCUUACCAGGGGCGACAGCAGGAUGAAGGUCAGGUUGAAGGUCUUACCAGACAAGCUGAGAAGUGGUGCAUGGCCGUCGUCAGUUCGUGCCGUGAGGUGUCUACUUAAGUGUAGUAACGAACAAGACCCGCGCCCUAUGUUGCUAUCUUCACAUCUGUGGAGAGCACUCAUGGGGGACCGCUGCUGAUAAAGCAGAGGAAGGUGCGGUCGACGGCAGGUCCGUAUGCUCUGAAUCCCCUGGGUUACACGCGGCCUACAAUGGCUGGCACAAUGAGAUGCGACCCCGAAAGGGGGAGCAAAUCUCCAAAACCAGUCUCAGUCCGGAUCGAGGGUUGCAACUCACCCUCGUGAAGCCGAAAUCCCUAGUAGUCGCUGGUCAUCAAGAACCCUUUCUGUUAAAAGAAGAGGUUCGUGAAUUCUAGCGACGAAUAUGUUCCUGUUCCUUGCACACACCGCCCGU
rnacentral:rRNA from 1 species